rnacentral:rRNA from 1 species
UGCAAGUCGAACGGUCUUUCUAUGGAAGCUUGCUUCCACUGAGAAGAUAGUGGCGGACGGGUGAGUAACACGUGGGUAACCUGCCCAUAAGAGGGGGAUAACAUCCGGAAACGGGUGCUAAUACCGCAUAGUUUUCUUGAUCGCAUGAUCGGGAAAGGAAAGACGGCCUUUGUGCUGUCGCUUAUGGAUGGACCCGCGGCGUAUUAGUUAGUUGGUGAGGUAAUGGCUCACCAAGACGAUGAUACGUAGCCGACCUGAGAGGGUGAUCGGCCACAUUGGGACUGAGACACGGCCCAAACUCCUACGGGAGGCAGCAGUAGGGAAUCUUCCGCAAUGGACGAAAGUCUGACGGAGCAACGCCGCGUGAGUGAAGAAGGUUUUCGGGAAUCGUAAAACUCUGUUGUCAGAGAAGAACAAGUUGGAGAGUAACUGCUCCAGCCUUGACGGUAUCUGACCAGAAAGCCACGGCUAACUACGUGCCAGCAGCUGC